rnacentral:rRNA from 1 species
AUUGAACGCUGGCGGCAGGCUUAACACAUGCAAGUCGAGCGGGGGAAGGUAGCUUGCUACCGGACCUAGCGGCGGACGGGUGAGUAAUGCUAGGAAUCUGCCUAUUAGUGGGGGACAACAUCCCGAAAGGGAUGCUAAUACCGCAUACGUCCUACGGGAGAAAGCAGGGGAUCUUCGGACCUUGCGCUAAUAGAUGAGCCUAAGUCGGAUUAGCUAGUUGGUGGGGUAAAGGCCUACCAAGGCGACGAUCUGUAGCGGGUCUGAGAGGAUGAUCCGCCACACUGGGGCUGAGACACGGCCCAGACUCCUACGGGAGGCAGCAGUGGGGAAUAUUGGACAAUGGGGGGAACCCUGAUCCAGCCAUGCCGCGUGUGUGAAGAAGGCCUUAUGGUUGUAAAGCACUUUAAGCGAGGAGGAGGCUACUUUAGUUAAUACCUAGAGAUAGUGGACGUUACUCGCAGAAUAAGCACCGGCUAACUCUGUGCCAGCCGCCGCCGUAA